AAGGAAGCCCUUGUCUGAUUCAUUAUUGGUAGAAAAAAAUCCUAACUUGAGCUAAUCUAACAAUUUUGAGGCCUAUAUUACAUAUUGUUGUGUGGUUUUGGGGCAUGAGGGAAAAAUCCAGCUAAUAAUGGAAACUCAUUUACAACCCAUAUCACUCCAUAACAAAAUAGCUUUCAUAAGAUAGAAGCACAGAAAUGUGAUAUCUUUUCUUGUAUAAUUUUGAUUUAUGGCUGUACUUUAUUGCUGUUUGGUGACCUGGCAGUCUCCUCCAGGCUCAGGCCUGCUCUUAGAUAUAUUGGUGUGCAUCAUUGCAUGUCUUGUAAAACUGAUUGCUGGUAUCACAAUGUCGCUUGGGUUUUGCCAUUGCACAGGUCCACAGUACACAGUUCAUGGAAUUUUCUGAGGUGGAAAAUCAUGAUGACUUUUACACCACUCAAGAUGGAUACAUUCACACACAGGACCAGCGAGGAGCUUACAUCAUGUACGAUGUAGCUUUAAAGGACCUGAAGGACCUUGAAAAUCAGCUGCUGCUCGUGGCAAGCCAGUACAUUGAACAAGAUAAAAGCUACGUGACAUACCAUCAAUCCAGGGAUGACAACCUCUUAGCGUGGGCGCACGCAUCUGUGGAUCGAUUUGCGGUGCUGCUUGACAUUUGGACUUGUGAAGCUGCUCUCUUAGAGAAUAAACGUCAGCUUCUAGAUGGUUACUUUGAGGCUUACCAGCAUGCUCUGGAUACAGAGGAAAGAUUUGCUUUGGCCCAAGCAAUAACUGACGUCAUGCACAAACGCCCACGAUUUGAUCUCAGCCUCAGGUAUUUUGUGAACACUUACGAUGAUGAAUGCAUCUGCCUCAGGCUUCAGUUGCAGCUGGUGAGAGAAAUAUUCAGCCAACAUAUAGAUGCCCAGCGGGAAUAUGUCCAAAAGAUUUGGCGAAAAGAUCAGACAGGUGGUAUCAAUGUAUUUGGACUUCCCCAUAAUAUAAUUGCUAAGCAACUUAUCUCUCUGAACAACAGUUGCCCUACUUUGAAGAACAUUUACUUGCUGGAGUUUCACCCUUCCCUGGGCUUGGCAUCUUUAAUCCCGAAAGCUCUUGAGUACGUCUCUCAGGAGUUCUAUAGCAUCUGUAGACCAAAAACACCCAGUGAGGCAACUAGUCUAGAAAAACAAGUACUUCAGCUAGCAGUGGAUGAAUGGCUGGCCAUGGAAAAGCCUGAAUCUUCAUACAGCUCUCAAAUUCAGAAAGAUUUAUUUGCAGACACACUGCUGGAAGACCCACUCCUUGUGCGGGAUAUUGCUAUGUUAGCACUAGAGUCAGGAACAGAUGAAGAAAAGAAGCAAGGCAGAGAAAAAAAAGCCUUUAUUCUGGACAUCUUCUCCAGACUCCUGGAACUCAUCACACUCCGCCAUCGAUUGAUAGAGGCAGCCCUGGAGAGUGCACAGUUGGCUAGAUAUAUUCCAUCAAAUUUAUUGUUAAGCAUUCAAGAGAUUGACAAUAAUCAAAUUGGAAAAUUUAGCUUUCAUACAAGAGAUGGUGUUAUUCAGCUCUUAUCCCCAUCUGGAGUGGAGAACAUGCAGAUCACUCUUGCCUGUCAAGUCACUCAAAAAAAUGCUCUUAUUGUUGCUGUUCAGCAAGCCUCAUUUUGUCACAUGAUCCAGCCUACACGUACAGUGGACAUGAAGGAAGCAAAUUUAAGUUUGAAGAGUCAAAGCAGCUCAGCAAGUGGAAGAAAUUCAAGAUCUGGAAAUGAAACAGAAAAACAGUCACUGAUGGCUGCACCAGCAACUUCAUAUUCUACAGGGCACCCUUUAGAUGGACACUGGACCAUUAAAAGGUAAUGUUACAUCCUGGCCCAGUCCCUAUCUCUUGAUGGAUAUUAAUACAUUUAAAUGCACCCAAAUCCUGGGCCCCAAGUGCUUCUAAGCCCCCUGAGUCUGGUUAGUGACUGGUAACUGUUCCUAGCUCUGGGUCUCUCAGGCAUACUCCCAUGUGCAGACCUCAUGUCUGACAUCCUUCUUGGGCAGUAGGACCCUGCAGUUCAGCUGUCUUAAAUCCCAGAACAAGUGGCAUGGCCCUCCUGAGCCCCCAGAUGCUUAGACUCAUUCUGUCCUUCCAAGAUCACCUGGCUGUGGGAGUUCUGGUUUCAAGUUAAACCCUUCAAAGGCAACGUGGAAUACAAGCAUAGCACAGGAAUUUCUUGACCACAGACACUUUUAGGCAACACUAAAGAGUUACAGAUCUUUGGAAGAUAACACAGUCCUGAAUGCAGUCCCCUGCCAAGUCUGAUCUCACCGUGGGUCUGAGGUUUGGCCAGCAUCCUUAGGCCUGUCAUCUUCUUACCUGUGCUGGUGGUUUGGGUCUCCAGCUCAGAAAAGCAGCCCCCUUUUAAUAUAGUCUCUCUCCCCUUCUUCCCUAUGUACUCUAGGCUGAGGAACUGCAGACCAACCCUUUUUUCAAGCAACCUUCUGUGUAGUGUUCAUUGCUCUUAUGGAUGGGUGUUAAGAGAUCAUCAGAGUUGGUGGUUUUUGCUGGCUGUCUCAUGGUAGACCUCUUGGAGGUGGAGGUUACAAUGGAAAGUGAAGGUUAUAAACAAAAUAGAAUUCACAAAACGACAUGGAAUUCCCAAUUCACUCAAACAUACUCCUGGUGUAUCACAGAUAUCUGUUAAUGUGGGGAGGAGACAAAUGCUGCAUCUUGGCAGGAGAUUAGACUAGAUGAUUCUUGCGGUCCCUUCUAACCUCAUGGUUCUAUGUUUGUAAAUAUUUUGUUUCUAUUUCCAUAUAUUUCACUUACAAUGGAACCAAAGAUAUGUGUAUUGCUAGUCUGUACUUGGGUUUU
ensembl:lncRNA